AAAAAAGCUUCUGGCAAUGCAUAUGCGGCCCGUACCAAAACCGACACAGGUGGGCAGGGAGAGAAUCCCGAGGUGAGCGAGAGAACUGUUGCCAAGGAACUCGGCAAAAUGACUCCGUAAGUUAGCGAGAAGGAGUGCUUAAGCAAUUAAGCCACAGUGAAGAGGCCCAAGCGACUGUUUAACUAAAACACAGCUCUCUGCGAAGUCGCAAGACGAAGUAUAGGGGGUGACACCUGCCCGGUGCUGGAAGGUUAAGAGGAUCUGUUAAGAGCGAUCUGAAGCAGUGAUCCGAAGCCCCAGUGAACGGCGGCCGUAACGAUAACGGUCCUAAGGUAGCGAAAUUCCUUGUCAGGUAAGUUCUGACCCGCACGAAAGGUGUAACGAUUUGGGCGCUGUCUCGGCAGCAGACUCGGUGAAAUCUUAGUACCUGUGAAAAUGCAGGUUACCCGCAACUAGACGGAAAGACCCCAUGGAGCUUUACUGCAGCCUGAUAUUGAAUUCUGGUCAUACAUGUACAGGACAGGUGGGAGACAAAGAGACGUGCACGCCAGUGUACGAGGAGUCGACGUUGGGAUACCACUCUUGUGUGACCGGGGUUCUAACCUGGUAUCGAGAACAGGUACGGGGAGAGUGUCAGGUGGGCAGUUUGACUGGGGCGGUCGCCUCCCAAAGAGUAACGGAGGCGCCCAAAGGUACGCUCAGAUUGGAUGGAAACCAAUCGUCGAGUGCAAUUGCAGAAGCCUGCUUGACUGUGAGACAGACAAGUCGAACAGGGACGAAAGUCGGGAAUAGUGAUCCGGCGGUGCCGAAUGGAAGGGCCGUCGCUCAACGGAUAAAAGCUACCCUGGGGAUAACAGGCUGAUCUCGCCCAAGAGUUCACAUCGACGGCGAGGUUUGGCACCUCGAUGUCGGCUCAUCGCAUCCUGGAGCUGGAUUCGGUUCCAAGGGUUGGGCUGUCCGCCCAUUAAAGCGGUACGCGAGCUGGGUUCAGAACGUCGUGAGACAGUUCGGUCCCUAUCUGUUGUGGGCGAAGGAGAUCUGCGGAGAGCUGUCCUCAGUACGAGAGGACCGGGAUGGACCUACCGCUGGUGCACCGGUUGUUCCGCCAGGGGCAUAGCCGGGUAGCUAAGUAGGGAAAGGAUAAGCGCUGAAAGCAUCUAAGCACGAAGCCUACUCCAAGAUGAGAUCUCCCAUUCGCAAGAAGUAAGACCCCUUAAAGACGAUAAGGUAGAUAGGCCAGGGAUGGAAGUGCAGUGAUGUACGGAGUUGACUGGUACUAAUCGGUCGAGGACCU
rnacentral:rRNA from 1 species